GCAAAGAAUUACACACAAAACAAACGACUGAAAAAAAGCAGAAAAAAAAAGAAGAAAAAACAACAACACCUUAUACACGCAGAUUUAUUUCUUGCCAGAUUUUUUCU
rnacentral:ribozyme from 13 species